UACAGAGGUCCCAAGCGUUGUUCGGAUUCACUGGGCGUAAAGGGUGCGUAGGCGGUCGGGUAAGUUUGAUGUGAAAUCUCCGAGCUCAACUCGGAAAUGGCAUUGAAUACUAUCUGGCUAGAGAGUCGGAGGGGGGACUGGAAUACUUGGUGUAGCAGUGAAAUGCGUAGAUAUCAAGUGGAACACCAGUGGCGAAGGCGAGUCCCUGGACGAUUUCUGACGCUGAGGCACGAAAGCUAGGGGAGCAAACAGGAUUAGAAACCCGCGUAGUCC
rnacentral:rRNA from 1 species